rnacentral:lncRNA from 1 species
CUUGUUGUACGAGAGGGGUUUAACUGUGAACUAGGACGUUCAAUCUUGGCGUUCUUACUCAUAGAGAGGAGGUGUUCUUGACGAACCUACCUUUCCAUUUAUAAGACUUCGAACACAAGGGACAUAAUUCCUUGGCUGACCUCAGCUUCGCUCAAGGGCGAGGAGGAUUUAUCUAGUGAACUAUUUCGUUUAACUUGGCGUUCCCGCUCGAAAGGGGAGGUGUUCU